CAGCAGCCGCGGUAAUACUAGCUCCAAUAGCGUAUAUUAAAGUUGUUGCUGUUAAAAAGCUCGUAGUUGGAUUUCUGCCGAGGACGACCGGUCCGCCCUCUGGGUGAGUAUCUGGCUCGGCCUGGGCAUCUUCUUGGAGAACGUAGCUGCACUUGACUGUGUGGUGCGGUACCCAGGACUUUUACUUUGAGGAAAUUAGAGUGUUUCAAGCAGGCACACGCCUUGAAUACAUUAGCAUGGAAUAAUAAGAUAGGACCUCGGUUCUAUUUUGUUGGUUUCUAGAGCUGAGGUAAUGAUUAAUAGGGAUAGUUGGGGGCAUUCGUAUUUAACUGUCAGAGGUGAAAUUCUUGGAUUUGUUAAAGACCGACUACUGCGAAAGCAUUUGCCAAGGAUGUUUUCAUUGAUCAAGAACGAAAGUUAGGGGAUCGAAGACUAUCAGAUACCGUCGUAGUCUUAACCAU
rnacentral:rRNA from 1 species